ACGCCAAGGUAUCCAUAGAUUGUGAAACAGACGAUUGGGAUUAGUCUAGGGCAUCGGUUCGAUGGGGAAUUGAUCCUGUCCAUUGAUCAUUGUACCUAGGCGUGAGAUUUUAUUACGGGCUGGUGGGCUCGCAACUGCAGAUCCCGGAUCCGAUGGCUAGGGGGGAGCGCAGAUGAGUAACUAGCGUAGGUCUAAUCGGGGCUAUAGAGAUCUGAUCGGACGGAAGGGGUUUCUCCGUACCCAUUCGCCCAAACGCAUUUUCAUAUAAGCCCCUAGCAAAUAAGUGAAACAACCAGCCGUCCAACAUUAUUGUUCCCUGAGUCUGAGUACAUUUGCGUGUUAGCCCCUGAACUCCCUGGAAUUUCACGCCUAGUCCAAAG
rnacentral:lncRNA from 7 species